GAAAGCUUAAGGGAGAUACGUCCGCACAAAGAGUGAUAAAAAAUUAAAAUAAAACGUGGAAAUCAAAUACCUUGAUUAAGCCCCGAACGCUUGUUUUAGAGGAUUGAACUUUUGAUAAGAGGUUGGUAACUUGGUUGAUUCCUAGAAGUUGAAGCAGUCAAAAAUAAGAAGAGUCCUCAUUUGUUAAUAUGUUGAACUGCAAUCAGUGAAAUCUAGCCAAACUUGAGCGGUAUAAGAUAUUAGUAUUGAAAAGUAAUUUUAGAAUCCACUUUGAGAAGUGAAAAGAGAACAAGUUUGGGGGUGUGUGAAUCCCAUGAGCGAGGUAAGGAAAUAUUUGACUUUUAAGGUUGGGAAUUGGGUGAACUUAUUAUGACACAGCGUUGCGCUUAACUCUCCCCACACACACCCGUUUGCAUUGAAUAGGCGAGAAUUUGACUUAUGCAUUAUAGUUUUGAAGUAAUUCUUGCAGUCGACGCUAUAUUUUUAAUCUUGAGCCAUGAAGGCAAGGCAUCUAACGAAAUUUAUUCUUAAGUGAUCGUGCAUGAUUUUAAUUGUGCUUGUGUGUUUGUCAAUGAUUUUCUUUGGUUUAGUAUUUGCUCGAGGACUAACAAAAUCUUAAGUUUGGGGGUGUUUGAGGAGUGAAUUUCACUCAUUGAUUUAAUGUUUCUUAAACUUGAAAUAUUUGGUUGUUUUCGAGAAAUUUAGAACGUUUUCAUGCGGGUAUUUGUGUUGUUUUAUAGGUGAACCAAUUUGGUGAAAUGGUGAGUUUGAAGGGUGGAAAAGAGUCAAAGUUACAUAGAAGUGAAUGGACAAGAAGAAGCAUCGAGAUGCACGUGAAAGACGAUGGAAGAAAGAAGGAAGAAAACCAACUAAAAAACUUGUCACAGCGCCUAGGCGCCAUAGUUGCAGCGCCUAGGAGCCACAAAAAGAGGAGAAACUCAGUGCCCAGGCGCUGUACAUGCACAAAAGAAGCAGGAACUUAGCGCCUAGGCCCCACAAAGUAGCGCCCAGGUGCUGUACACGCUGAAACAAGACAGAAACGCAGCGCCUAGGCGCCACUUUUGUAGCGCCCAAGCGCUGCAUGCCGAGAAAGGAAAAACGCGAUUUUUCCAAAUAUUUUCGAUUCGGCCCAACUCCAACUCGUAAUGCAAAUUAAGGGGAUUAUAAAUACACAUUUACAGACCUAAGAAAGGGGGUGGACGGCUGAAGAAGGGAGGCAAAGAGAUACACUAAUUGAGAGAAGAAUCACCUGAUUUUGGAGAAGGAAUCAAGCUGCAAACUGAGUUUUUCUUAUCUUUCUCUUCUCCAUGUGAUUUAAUUUGUAUUUUAUUGUGUUUUUCUUCUCAAUCAUGAACUAAUUUAUUAAAUCUAGGGGUUGAUGUAAUCUAUUU
rnacentral:lncRNA from 1 species